rnacentral:lncRNA from 1 species
UGGCCCUCCUUGCCACAGUGAUAGCAAGUACCUUUGGCGAAGACCUUCUUCGCCUUCUUCUUAGAGAUGCCAGCCUUGGGGUUCAUCUUUUUUUUUAGAACCCUUCUUUGCCUUCUUCUUGCUAAUCUUAUCAACAUGAAGGAUCUGAGCUUUUUCACCCUUGAAAUGACUCUCUGCUGUUUUCAACAUAUUCAAUAGUUUAGGCAGGCUG